GACGUAGGGCGCGAGCGUUUGUCCGGAUUUAUUGGGCGUAAAGAGCUCGUAGGCGGCUUGUCGCGUCGUCCGUGAAAACCUGGGGCUCAACCCCAGGCUUGCGGUCGAUACGGGCAGGCUCGAGUUCGGUAGGGGAGACUGGAAUUCCUGGUGUAGCGGUGAAAUGCGCAGAUAUCAGGAGGAACACCAGCGGCGAAGGCGGCGCUCUGGGCUGGAACUGACGCUGAGGAGCGAAAGCGUGGGGAGCAAACAGG
rnacentral:rRNA from 1 species